ensembl:lncRNA
CUUCCUCCCCCCCCUUCCGUCGCCGAGAGGCUCCGCGGAGGCGGCAGCUCGCAGGCUCUGGGGGCCGCGCCCCGGAUGUCGGGCAGGGCGGGCAGGGCGUUGCGCCGGCCGCUGAGCGAGGAGGCUGCGAAGCUCGAAGCUCGGCCGGGUGUCCUCAAGGCCCGGUCUGAGGGGCGGGGCGGGUGCGUCCCCCCAGCCCAAGCGGGAGGGCCCGGCCUCUCCUCAGGGGUCGGGGCUGGACUGGGCCUCACCUCCCCACCCGGUGCAGAACCCACUCCUGCCGACUGAGGAGCCGCCUCGCCCUUUUUUUCUCCGGAAAAUCCUGCCCACUCUGCACCCUCCACAGCUGCAGGGACUCGCCUGCUCUGAGCUUCCCAACGCUUGCAGCUGUCCAAAAGGAACCCUGUAGUUUCCGCUAUGGUGGGGACUGAAAUUGGAAAGCGCCAGGCCGGACGGUGCACGCCUGUAACCCCAGACACAAGAGGCUGAGGCAGGAGGGCCUCGGAGACUUGGAGGCCCGACUGGACUACAGGCCAGCUUGGGAAACACCGUGAGACCCUGGGUCCUAAUCCAGCCCCCAGGCAUUCUGAAACGAUGGGAAGUGCGACCUCCCCGACUCCGAGGCCACUUCUCGGUCCGGGCCCAAACUCCUAGACCCAGCGGGGUGAGAAGGGGGCCAUUCCAUUCUUUCAUCACCUUCUACCGCAAACCUUGCCUAGACGCCUUCGUUUUCAUUUGCUUCACAUUAUUAUUCCUGUUCUGAACCGAGUACUUUCAUUACGAGAGGUCUCGAGACGUAACGGACGGCGGGGCCGGUUUGAAAGUGUGUCGCAGGAGCUGUGCGACCCGGCCCGGGGAAGGACCCGUGCGCGGCGGGGUGCGAGGGCCGCGGACCGGCCCAGCCGCGGGCAGAGGGCGACCCAACGGGCAGGCCCCGCGGGGAGGCGCCCCAGGGUCAGACGGCAGAGCAGCAGCUUCAAGGGCAGCUGCGCUCGGAAGACGAUGCUCAUCGUCCUUCCCACCGCUGCGGACACAAACGCUCCUGGGUUUCCCGAACCUCAUCCCAGCACCCGGAGGCAGGGGUGGAAGAUCGAGAGCUCAAGCCCAGCCUGGUCUCCAGAGUGAAAUCCUGCCUCCAAAAAGUGAAGGGAGGGAAGCAGAAGAGAAGAGGGGGAGAAAAAGCAUAAAGAAGACCCAGAAACGCAUUUGCACCUAGAAAGUGCAAGAAAUCUGGAAAGCACUAGAACCCUGGCCCAAACCCAGGCUGGGCAGGCGCGGGCGCCUCCCGAUGGGCGGCUUCAGGCCCGACAGGGUGGACAGCAGGGGGAGAAAGAGGAAGUGGACUCUGACGGCGUGUCGCAGGAGAAAGGCCCUGUGCCUCUGCCCGGUAAACGGCUGGGGGGAACUGCGGCCCUUCAUCCUCUAGACCGAUUGUCCUUGCCUAGGAGUAGCAGUGAGAGGCACACGUCUAUGGCAGAAGUGGCAUUGCAGUUGUUCUUCCAGUACAGUACAAAGGGUCUCUCUGUACUUCAGGCUGCCUCGAUCUUAGAAUACAGCCUGGGCUGACCUUCAACAUCCAAUCCUCCUGCCUCAGCUUCCCCAGUGGUAGGGUUCCAGCCUGUACCACCACAGCCAGCCGCACUGCCCAUCUCUUUGUGCUAACGGUGACUCCAAGCUCUUCAAAGCCUCCUGAAGUUUCUCAUCUUUGCACAUAUUCAGAGAAGCCUGUUUCCAGUGAUGACGAAAGCACAGCUCUGAGCGCUGGCAGCCUGUGGCACCACUUGAACACGCAUCACAGGAUCCAGGGAUUGCCGGCCACCCUUCCGUUAGUCCCCUGGUUUGAGAACCACUCCACACGGAGACUGUGCACAUUCGUUGCCUGAAAGUUCCAGAAUCGAGCCCUGCAUUGCCUUCUCAAAGACCUGACUUCCAGCAAGACAUUACACUUCUCUGCUAGUUAAGGUUCUACAUUUGUGACAGGUGUGAAUAAUAGUAACUAUUUCACGACCUUGGGCCCAAAGAACUAAUGGCUAUCAGUGUGCUCGGCUGGUCACCACACAAAUGAGACUCGCCCCAGCUGUCUCAUACCGACUGACUGACAGGCCGAGGCCUGUUACCCACAGUGCUGAUGCGGCCCCAGGGCCCAGUGGGCACCCAGGCUCGUGAGCCACAGCUGGCCGUGCGUGUCAUUAAAAGCUCUAAAAGGUUCGCCAUCUUGGUUUAGAGGCAGCCUCUGACCUUGUGUCAUAAAGACAGGAAGGGACAAUUCAUGGUGUCUGUCUCCCUGGUACUCCCCGCCAUCUCUCUCACACACGCACACGUACACACAUGCACAGACACACACAUCUCCUCCUCCUCAUCACCAGCAGCGCUGUCAUCUCAAACUUGCCUAACUUCCGCUCCACCUGAAUCAGGCUACUUGUCAAGCACCUCACGUCCCUCACUCCUCCCAUAGGAAAUUUCUCCCUGAACACAGAACUUUCAGCAGCAAGCCCCGUGUGUCCAGCAGCAGCCCAAACAUUCCCAGUGUCCUACACAAUAGCUAAAUUGGGUCUGAAUCCUCCGUCCUUCACGACGCUUGAGAAAGCUUCCCAGUGUGAGUAACAUUGAGGGCCUGAUUCGGGCAAGGGGCUCACACAUCACAGUGCCCUGCACCCAGAGGAGCCCCCAGCAGCCCAGUCCUCGCAGGAGAGACAGUAGCUUCCCAGCUCUGCCUUAGGCAGGGGAUCGAGGCGACCGCUCUCCCGGCCAGAUGCAGGGCAGCGAUGCACAUGCAGCAACCGG